AUUGAACGCUGGCGGAAUGCUUUACACAUGCAAGUCGAACGGCAGCACGGACUUCGGUCUGGUGGCGAGUGGCGAACGGGUGAGUAAUGUAUCGGAACGCGCCCAGUCGUGGGGGAUAACGUAGUGAAAAUUACGCUAAUACCGUAUACGAUCUAUGGAUGAAAGCGGGGGAUCGCAAGACCUCGCGCGAUUGGAGCGGCCGAUAUCAGAUUAGGUAGUUGGUGGGGUAAAGGCCCACCAAGCCAACGAUCUGUAGCUGGUCUGAGAGGACGACCAGCCACACGGGAACUGAGACACGGUCCAGACUCCUACGGGAGGCAGCAGUGGGGAAUUUUGGACAAUGGGCGAAAGCCUGAUCCAGCCAUUCCGCGUGCAGGAUGAAGGCCCUUGGGUUGUAAACUGCUUUUGUACAGAACGAAAAGGUUUCUACUAAUACUAGGAGCUCAUGACGGUACUGUAAGAAUAAGCACCGGCUAACUACGUGCCAGCCGCCGCCGUAA
rnacentral:rRNA from 1 species